CGACCGGCAAACGGGUGCGGAACACGUACACAACCUUCCUUUUAGUGGGGGAUAGCCCAGAGAAAUUUGGAUUAAUACCCCGUAAUAUUAUUAAGUGGCAUCAUUUGAUAAUUAAAGCUCCGGCGCUAGAAGAUGGGUGUGCGUCUGAUUAGGUAGUUGGUAGGGGUAACGGCCCACCAAGCCAACGAUCAGUAACUGGUGUGAGAGCACGACCAGUCACACGGGCACUGAGACACGGGCCCG
rnacentral:rRNA from 1 species